rnacentral:rRNA from 1 species
AGUGAACGCUGGCGGUAGGCCUAACACAUGCAAGUCGAACGGCAGCACAGUAAGAGCUUGCUCUUACGGGUGGCGAGUGGCGGACGGGUGAGGAAUACAUCGGAAUCUACUUUUUCGUGGGGGAUAACGUAGGGAAACUUACGCUAAUACCGCAUACGACCUACGGGUGAAAGCAGGGGAUCUUCGGACCUUGCGCGAUUGAAUGAGCCGAUGUCGGAUUAGCUAGUUGGCGGGGUAAAGGCCCACCAAGGCGACGAUCCGUAGCUGGUCUGAGUGGAUGAUCAGCCACGCUGGCCCUGAGACACGGUCCAGACUCCUACGGGAGGCAGCAGUGGGGAAUAUUGGACAAUGGGCGCAAGCCUAAUCCAGCCAUACCGCGUGGGUGAAGAAGGCCUUCGUGUUGUAAAGCCCUUUUGUUGGGAAAGAAAAGCAGCAGGUUAAUACCCCGCUGUUCUGACGGUACCCAAAGAAUAAGCACCGGCUAACUUCGUG